CACCCACUCAGGAUAGACUCUGAGGAACCAAAGAAUUUGGGGAACCUAUAUACCACUCCAGAUGACCUGGGGGCUUAGGAUGAGAGGGACAGUUGAUUGACUUUACAAUGGUGGUCUUCGACCUGAAUUUUUGGAUCUUGGACUGGGACUAUGGCUUGGAGCUAUGAUUUGAGACUUUGACCUGGGAUUCUGGCUCUUGGACUGCUUCUGGUAAGACUGCUCCUGGAUCGUCUUUGGAGCUUUGGCUUGGGAGUGUCCCAUCCUGGGGUUCCAGGAGAGCUCAAGGAGCAUCUCACCUGCCCACAAUGAAGUCUGCAAGAGUGGAGAUCAAAAAGUGAGUAGUCAAAUUGAAAGGAAAAAAAAAAUUAUUAGAGUACUAAGGAAGUCUGCCAGGGCUGGUAGCAAACCUCCACUUCUUAAGGUACAGAUUAUGUUUCUAUAGCUUUUUGGGAUACCCUAGAGUAUACAGUCUAUCACUGACAUUCCAUAACAGAAAGGAAAUA
rnacentral:lncRNA from 1 species